UACGUAGGGUGCGAGCGUUGUCCGGAAUUAUUGGGCGUAAAGCGUCCGCAGGUGGCAGUUCAAGUCUGCUGUCAAAGACCGGGGCUUAACUUCGGAAAGGCAGUGGAAACUGAACAGCUAGAGUAUGGUAGGGGCAGAGGGAAUUCCUGGUGUAGCGGUGAAAUGCGCAGAUAUCAGGAGGAACACCAGUGGCGAAGGCGGUUCUCUGGGCAUUACCUGACGCUGAGGAGCGAAAGUGUGGGGAGCGAACAGG
rnacentral:rRNA from 1 species